UACGAACUGUGCAAACGUUAUUCGGAAUCACUGGGCUUAAAGGGUGCGUAGGCGGCUCGUUAGGUAGGGUGUGAAAGCCCCCGGCUCAACCGGGGAAUUGCGCCCUAAACCGGCGGGCUGGAGUGAGAUAGGGGUGUGUGGAACUUCCAGUGGGGCGGUGAAAUGUGUUGAUAUUGGAAGGAACGCCGGUGGCGAAAGCGACACACUGGGUCUCAACUGACGCUGAGGCACGAAAGCCAGGGGAGCAAACGGG
rnacentral:rRNA from 1 species